UUUAUGGAGAGUUUGAUCCUGGCUCAGGACGAACGCUGGCGGCGUGCCUAAUACAUGCAAGUCGAGCGAACAGAAAAGGAGCUUGCUCCUUUGACGUUAGCGGCGGACGGGUGAGUAACACGUGGGCAACCUACCCUAUAGUUUGGGAUAACUCCGGGAAACCGGGGCUAAUACCGAAUAAUCUCUUUUGCUUCAUGGUGAAAGACUGAAAGACGGUUUCGG
rnacentral:rRNA from 1 species